CGCAUAGUUAUUUCCAUAGAGUGAUCUUCUUAGGCUGCUAGAUGACGUGAUGCAAUUUUCUAUAUCUUGUGCCAAUAGAAGUAACAAUUGAUAAGUAACCAAAACUCAAUCAUGAUUGAUACACAGGAUGGUAGUAACUAAUAGGUAUAACGUAACUACAUUUUCACAAAUGGUGAAAUUUUCUUUAAUACAACUAAAUAUAUUAGACUCUCUUUGCUCUCAUAAUUGCACACAUAGCACAUGAAAAUCAAAGCCUUCAAUAAACAAACCAAACCAAAAUAGGAGAAAGGUGAUAUAGUUAUCCUUUGAGUUAAAACGCAAUGAGACUCGAGAAACUUAUGCACACUGUGCAGCCUUGCUCCACUUGCAAUAUCCGAGCUGCAUACGCAGCAUUAUCUGCAGAUUGGACCAAGCUUCAAUUAACACUCAAUUUCCAUUCGUACAACAUGUUCUCAUCCACACAUGAUUUAUGGUGUCCCUAGUUUACAGAUAAAAAACUAAUUAUCAAGAGAACAAUCACUCAAGCAAACCCCAAAUCAAUUAAAAGAUUAUCCACAUAUAGGUAAUUGAAAAGAGAAAUCGAUUAUGAUCCUCUUCGCAAUCAAUCCCCAAAACUGAUAUCACUUAACAAUUAAUAAAUAUUGAGACUAAUAAUCAAUAGAUAACACCAUUUCCAACAAUUGAUUUUUUCAGUGACGCAUGUUAUCGAACAGUCUGUGCGCAUCAAAUCAUCAUAUUCUAUUUGAGAGAUUUGAGGGUUAGACUACUCCCCUAAUUACAGCAAGAAGAGAGCGAUCCAUGGCUUGAGCUAGUUGAGAGAGAAGUAAUACAAUUACCUAAGAAAUAUUGUUAUCAUCAAUAGUUCUGAGGCAUUCAAUGAAUUUUCUUGCUGAUUUAUUCAAGUUCUUCAUUCCUGCACCAUAAUAGUUUAAGCUAGUGAUGAAUAUAAACUCGCAAUAAGACAAACAUAUAUUCCUUUUACAGUUUCCAAAGAUCGACGA
rnacentral:lncRNA from 1 species